UUCCCUCCCCCGUCCCCGCCUCCCCCGCCCCACCCCGUCCGCCACAGCCUUUCGCCGGGAGAUCGAGAAAGGCUUCGGGGCUGGGGGAGCCUAGAGGCCCCAGGCUGUCCCAGGCGGCUGCUGUUUGCGCGCUGCAAAAGAGGAGUCCGGCAAGGCACAGCACCUCGCAUCCUGGCUGGCGGACACUCAGACGACACAGGUCUGAUCCGGAGGAACCACUUGGCUCAGGUCCCCGCCCUCAUCUCAGAUCUGAAGAUUAAGGUGGUCUUCAAUUUCUCCCCCAGCACUCUUCCUCAGACACGGCUUUGCAUUCUCCCUUGGUUUCAACUUGUGCUUGGCCUCCCAAUGAAACAAGCCUGUUUUUGUACCCAAGGACCAUCUCCAAGGAUACCCCCAGGACUUGUACACCACAGGGAAUCUGACAGGGCUGACUGCUGAUGGUCAGUAGGAGAUAAAGAUACCUUCUGUCAACUCUUGUCUCUUUUUUGCCACCCUUCCUGUACCCUACAACACAGAUUUGAUGAAAAUGGAUCUUGGCCAUAGAGUAAACAGGACUUGAUUAGUCCAAGAAACUCUGUGGAUGUUUAAUUAAUAAACAGUUGUUAAACAGCUUCA
rnacentral:lncRNA from 13 species